rnacentral:tRNA from 1 species
CAGACGGUAGUUAAAUUAUAAUCGUAGCUUUGGAAGUUACAGUUGAGUGCAUACUCCUGUCUGA